AGAGUGGAUUUUAAGCUAACGCUAGCAUUAGCAUCCUCGCUCUCGUGAGCGGCAAGAAAGCAGACGGACAUUCAGCACUCAGGUGCGUGGAGUCGCCGGGACGGUGGAAUUCCGGGUACAGAAGUCCUGUGUUCUUCGUGAUGGGGGGUCAGAGGUCAGGUUUGAAGGAUGCAAAACAUCCUUCCUGGAGCUGGUUGGGAUGUGAACCUAGCUCCUGGACACUCCAGCACUGCAGGACAGGAGCCGGGACUGAGUGACGCUUUGACGCUUUAAUUUGGAACUCUCCCUGUAGUAAAGACCUGACACCACCGGAGUUGCUGUGUACUGCAGGAGCACGUUCGUUGCCGGUCCGACAACGCUUCAUUUCACACCCACACUCAGCGGCGAUGGAAGAGCAGUGACAUCUUAUCUUGAGGAAACGCACCUUGCUGAAGGUCCACAGACUGAUAAAAUGCUCCUGCAGGUGUCACAGCCCUUCAUAAAAUAUGAUUUCUUUUCUAUCCUGACCCUUUGUCUUCCUUAUUACCUCCUUCUCUGUGUUUAGUUCAGAAGUGUGUGAGUGCUGUUCAGUGAUUGCUGGCACAGAGCUUCAAUUAGUCAGGCUUCUGAGAUCUGUGCAGGGGCUUCUUAAUGAUGGAGAAAUAAUUCUGUGAAGAACAGAUCCUGCAUGUAGCACAAAUGAGGUUCCGAUCAGUGGGUGGCUACUCUGAAGCACAUCUCAGUGUGUGUAUGUACCUUUGCC
rnacentral:lncRNA from 1 species